UCAGAACUUGAGGUACAUAUCGAAUGUACGAAUAAAUCUUGCUUAACGACAAAUAGAAGCAAUUCUAAGCUGAAAGAAAAAAAAUUAAAUUUGUUAAAAAAUAAUUAUUUAACACAAGAUUUUAAGUCAAUAUAAUUUUUUCCAAAAAGUGUGCAACUAGUUCUUAUAAAAUUGUUUGAAAUUAAUUUAAAUUACAUUUUUUUUGCGUUAAAAACUAUUUUUCAGUCUUGAGUUUGUGUUUGGGCCUCCAUCCUGUUUGUUAAAUGUAUUAAAUCUAAGGAUUGUUUAUAAAAAUUGUAUGGUAAUAGAUUUCAAAAAAUCGUUAGUGCUGUUUGAAAUCUUGACUUUGUUGUUAUAAUUUUGCUGAAAAAAUUCAGCUGUAUAGCGACAGUCGCUUAUUCGCUAGUUCGCUGCGGAUUUUUCGCCCUUUAGUAGAUCUACAGUUCGGUGAUUUUACUCAUUGGUUUCGGUUGCCACCUGCUGAAAAUAAUAAAAAUGAAAAUAUUUGAAGUGGAUUUCUUUUAUUUACAACAAAAUAGAAUAAUAGGCUGAAUAAUAAACUGGUUUAGUCUCCGUCUCUAAAAUAAUACUUAUGUUGUCGGUGUGCUAAAAAGAAGUUUUUAUGCAUUAAAAUGCAAUCUGGUGUGAUUCGGGUCAAAGGAUGAAUUUAAUGAAAUUUUUUAAAAGCAGCACAUGAAAAAAGUGAAAAUUACAUGUCGCUAUUAAUGUCACAUGCCAUGAGAA